UCUCGCCACAACUCUUCCCUCUCCUCGACGUUGUCCUCACCGUGAAUCCGAGUCUUCUCCGUGACGCGUUGGCAUUCCUCACCAAGUUCUCGCCAUAGCUCUUCCCUUUCCUUGACGUUAGGUUUUUUCCUCGACGUCAACCUCGUCGCGAAUCUUCCUUCUCCGUGACCUCGCCGUGACUCUUCCCUCUCCUCGACGCAGUUCCUCGCCAGGUGAGCUAUCUUCCUCACCAAGUUCUCGCCAUAGCUCUGCCCUUUUUUUUUUGCGAUCUUGAUUUUGUUCUGAUUUUUGUUCUGCGAUCUUGAUUUUUUGUUCCCCACAAAACUGAGCAAGUUGCCUUGUCAUCUUCCUCACCAAGUUCUAAUUUUUAUUCUGCGAUCUUGAUUUUUUUUCCCCCCACAAAACUGAGCAAGUUGCCUUGUCAUCUUCCUCACCAAGUUCUGCUAUCUUCCUCACCAAGUUCUGCCUUGAUUUUUUUUCUGCUAUGUUCCUCACCAAGUUCUGCUAUCUUCCUCACCAAGUUCUUCCUUGAUUUUUUUUCUGCUAUGUUCCUCACCAAGUUCUGAUUUUUGUUCUUCUUUCAAGUCAUCUUUAGGUAUUUUUAUUUUUUCUCAAUCUUUUCUAUCUAGUUGUCUUGCAAUUUAUUUUCUUUGUAAUAUUAUGUGAGCAUGCAACUAACCAGCUACUGAUAUGAAUGUUGUUCCACACAUGCUGCUCAGAAUGCAUUUGUUUUCCACACAUAUGAAUGUUCUUCCAUGUCAUCUUUUUUGGCAAUUGCAACUUUGUCUUCGAUCUUGAUCUUUAUAUGAUAUGAAGAAGAAUAUUUUUAGUAGCUCUUCUUAUGAAGAAGAAUAUGGAAAACAGAACUUGAAACACAUGGUUAUUUGAUUUAUAGGGAAGAUGCACCUUGAGAGAUUUGCUAGCAAUAUAUGAUGCCCAUGAUUUGUUUCUUGUUUUAAAAAUGGUAACCAAUUUGCUUGUUACUAAUGAUGCUUGCCCUACCUUCCAAUCCAGAAGUUACAAUUACUUGCUGGAUUUUUUUAUGUAGAUCAAAUGGCUCGGCUUCCUAUUACCGAACAACGGCGAAAAUUAAAGAAACUAUUAUUGCUUCAACAAACAACCAACAAUAUGCUGGUCUUGUUAUUUGCUCUAUAUUAUGUACUCAUUUGUUCAUACCUUCGAGAUAAUGUUCGUCAUAUCAAAACAAAAGAAGAAAAAAGAGUCAAUCGAAUGAGAUGGAUGUGUAGAUUGACAAUGGAUUGUGAUUCUGCUUGCAUUAGUCAACUUCGCAUGGAUAGAGCAACCUUUAGGAUAUUGUGUGAUAUGGUAGCAAACAUUGGAGGACUAAAACCCACUAAGAACACAUCCAUAGAGGAGGUUGUAGCAAUGUUCAUAUAUACCUUGGCUCAUCACAAAAAAAGUAGAACAAUUAGCCUACUUUUUUACCGUAGUACAGAAACAGUGAGUCGGCAAUUUCAUCAAGUUCUUAAUGCAAUUUUAAAAUUAUAUCCUAUUUUGCUCAAGAAGCCAGAACCUAUUACUCAGGAUUGUCAAGAUGAGAAGUGGAAAUGUUUUCAGGGAUGCUUAGGAGCGUUAGAUGGAACAUUAAUUAAAGUUACACCUCCUACAGAAGAUAAACCUCGUUUUCGCACUAGAAAAGGGUGUAUUUCAACUAAUGUAUUAGGUGUUUGUUGCCCAAACAUGCAAUUCAUAUAUGUAUUACCUGGUUGGGAGGGAUCAGCACAUGAUGGUCGUGUGCUUCGAGAUGCGAUAUCAAGACCACAUGGUCUAAGGGUCCCUCAAGGUUGUUAUUACUUGGUUGACUCUGGAUAUUGCAAUGCAAAUGGAUUUCUUGUCCCAUAUCGAGGACAACGAUAUCACCUAAAAGAAUUUGAUGGCCAUCGACCGGAGACACCAGAGGAAUACUUCAACAUGAAGCAUUCCAAGGCUAGGAAUGUUAUAGAAAGAUGUUUUGGGUUGUUAAAGGGGAGAUGGAAGAUUCUUGCAUCACCAUCAUUUUUCUCCAUUCAAACCCAAAUUCGGAUUAUCAUGGCAUGUUGUCUUAUGCAUAAUUUGAUUCGCAAGUUUAUGAGCUUUGAUCCACAAGAGUCACUUAUAGCAGAUGAGGAAGAGGAAUCUGAUGGGGGAAGUGACAAUGAAGAAGUAGAGUAUAUUACGUAAAUUAAUCCAAGUAAUGAGUGGUCAUCAUUUAGAAAUAAUAUGGCAACCAAUAUGUAUAACACAUGGUCUACUAGACCUAGUGGCAAUGUUAGUGAUUGAGUUCUAUUUUGUAAGAAUGUUAUAACAAUUGCGUGUUCUGAUUUUAUAUAUGUAUUUGAAUGGUACCAGUUCUACUCGACAUUAUAAGAUUCAUAUAUUGAUAUAUUAUGUGGUGUUUUGUUUUAUAUGUAUACUCGACAUUAUAAGAUUUAUCCAUCAAUCAUUACUAAUGAUUAAAAAAGUUCUUUUAUGCCAAUAUGAUAUUCAUUUCAUACCUCUUACACUGUCAUCUUUUUUGUUAGGAUGACUACAAUUACUCCAUCAAUUGCACGUGGAAGAGGGAAAAACAAACAAUAUUGGACGGACGAGGAGGUGGAAGUGUUGGUUGACGCUCUCAUAGAACUAGCUUCUGAUCCUUUAUGGAAGGUAGAUACUGGUUUUAAAAAUGGUUAUAUGAUUCAAAUACACAAAAUGGUUUUGGGUAAGAUUCCAAGUUUCAAUAAAGCAGUUAUUCCUCAUAUUGAAUCCAAGAUCAAAUAUCUUAAAACCAAGUACAAUCCCCUCUCUGAGAUGUGUAUGCAAAGUGGGUGUCAGUGGGAUGACGUGGAGCACAAGAUUAACUGUGAAAAGCAAUGGUUCGAUGAAUGGUGUCUGACUCACCCUAAUGCUGUUGGAUUGAGGGAUUUUAAAUUUCCAUAUUUGCGCAAACUGGACAUUGUGUGGGGAAAGGACAGAGCCACGGGACUUAGUGCUGAAGAUGUGGUUGACGCAAGCAUGGAUGCUAAUUGGCAAAAGAAUUUGAAUGUGAGUUCUUCCUCGGACAAUGAAGAUGAACCUGUUUUGGACAUCCUAUCACAAGGCUCACCUUCGAGUUCGUCAUGUAACAAUGGAUCGAAAAAGAGAAAAAAACUUUCACCAAGAAGGGAAAGUUUUUACAAGAAAAAGAAAGCAGCAACACCCCAACAAACCAUUGACUCGAGAUUGGACAACUUUACUAAUAAGUUUGAGGUCAUUUGCGAUCAAAUGGCAACACAAUAUGGUACUAUUACAAAUGCUUUGAUUGCAAAGUCCAAGCCAGAAUCCAUAGGUGGUGAAAAAAUGCAGGAGGUUAUUGCUGAACUACUUAAUAUUGGCAUAUCUCCAAUGGAUGUUGGUAGGGCUGCUGAAAUUUGUUACAAUGACCCUGCCAAGGUUGAAGUUAUGUUUGCAUUGCCAAGCCAUUUGCGAAGAUCCUAUGUGCUUGGAUUUAUCUAUCCAUCUUCUAUUCCAUGAAACAUGUGUGGAUUCAUGUUUUUUUUGUUGAUGUUAAAUAACUAGGUUAUUUUGAAUUGCAUUCGGUAUUUUUGAAGUUGUAAUAUUGUAGUUAGACGCAUGCAAUAUUGUGUUAACCUAGUUAUAUUGUAUGUCGGUAAAAAUAUUUUGUAAUAUUUAGACAUCAGCUAGACCAAAACUUGUAUCAAUGCUGUAACUUUAGCACUUGCUGAUUUAGAUUCUAUUUUAUUUUGAUGAAGUUAUUGUUGGCAUAUAUUAUGUGUGGAAGUUGUUGUUUGUUCGCUUUCAGAUGGUGCAGGAAAGAGAAUGAGGGAGCUCUGCUGAGCUGGUAAUUGAUUGGGGCUGCAAUAUGUUUUCCUUGUCUCCAAGAUCUGGGAGCUGCUUUUAUAUCUGGACAGAAUGAACAUAAACAGAUUAGCGCCUGCUCCAAGAAAAAUGUCAUGUCUUCCUCCUUAGGCUCAUCUAGUUU